UAAAUGCAUGUGUGUAGAGUGUUGCCUCAGAUGUCUCUUCUAAAUGCAUGUGUGUAGAGUGUUGCCUCAGAUGUCUCUUCUAAAUGCAUGUGUGUAGAGUGUUGCCUCAGAGGUCUCUUCUAAAUGCAUGUGUGUAGAGUGUUGCCUCAGAGGUCUCUUCUAAAUGCAUGUGCGUAGAGUGUUGCCUCAGAUGUCUCUUCUAAAUGCAUGUGCGUAGAGUGUUGCCUCAGAGGUCUCUUCUAAAUGCAUGUGUGUAGAGUGUUGCCUCAGAGGUCUCUUCUAAAUGCAUGUGUGUAGAGUGUUGCCUCAGAGGUCUCUUCUAAAUGCAUGUGCGUAGAGUGUUGCCUCAGAGGUCUCUUCUAAAUGCAUGUGUGUAGAGUGUUGCCUCAGAGGUCUCUUCUAAAUGCAUGUGUGUAGAGUGUUGCCUCAGAGGUCUCUUCUAAAUGCAUGUGCGUAGAGUGUUGCCUCAGAGGUCUCUUCUAAAUGCAUGUGUGUAGAGUGUUGCCUCAGAGGUCUCUUCUAAAUGCAUGUGUGUAGAGUGUUGCCUCAGAGGUCUCUUCUAAAUGCAUGUGUGUAGAGUGUUGCCUCAGAGGUCUCUUCUAAAUGCAUGUGUGUAGAGUGUUGCCUCAGAGGUCUCUUCUAAAUGCAUGUGUGUAGAGUGUUGCCUCAGAUGUCUCUUCUAAAUGCAUGUGUGUAGAGUGUUGCCUCAGAGGUCUCUUCUAAAUGCAUGUGUGUAGAGUGUUGCCUCAGAUGUCUCUUCUAAAUGCAUGUGUGUAGAGUGUUGCCUCAGAUGUCUCUUCUAAAUGCAUGUGUGUAGAGUGUUGCCUCAGAGGUCUCUUCUAAAUGCAUGUGUGUAGAGUGUUGCCUCAGAGGUCUCUUCUAAAUGCAUGUGUGUAGAGUGUUGCCUCAGAUGUCUCUUCUAAAUGCAUGUGUGUAGAGUGUUGCCUCAGAGGUCUCUUCUAAAUGCAUGUGCGUAGAGUGUUGCCUCAGAGGUCUCUUCUAAAUGCAUGUGUGUAGAGUGUUGCCUCAGAUGUCUCUUCUAAAUGCAUGUGUGUAGAGUGUUGCCUCAGAGGUCUCUUCUAAAUGCAUGUGUGUAGAGUGUUGCCUCAGAGGUCUCUUCUAAAUGCAUGUGCGUAGAGUGUUGCCUCAGAGGUCUCUUCUAAAUGCAUGUGUGUAGAGUGUUGCCUCAGAGGUCUCUUCUAAAUGCAUGUGCGUAGAGUGUUGCCUCAGAGGUCUCUUCUAAAUGCAUGUGUGUAGAGUGUUGCCUCAGAGGUCUCUUCUAAAUGCAUGUGUGUAGAGUGUUGCCUCAGAGG